GAAGCUUGUCAACUUUUCACUCCAUCUCAAGAAAUUAUGGAGCACGUUUUCUGUCCAUAGAUAGGCCCAGAAUGGGCUAGGCUUUCAAGUCUGGUUGGGGAGUUUGGUCUAUGGGCUCAAAAUUGGGUCCAAGGUCUGGAGCUGGUGGUCCAAGCCUAAAGGCCCUAGUUUUCAUCAGGAAUGCAAGGCAAUAAUUGAAACAUAGAUUUACAGAAUCUCUCUGCUGCAGCCUCAACCACCCCAAUCAAGUACAAUUUUAAAGAAAAUGAGUCUCAACACUGUCGAAACCAUCAUAAAAAUAAUUUUUAUUCCCAAAACCAUAUCACUUUUUCGCAUCAACUAUUUGAUCAUAUGAUAUGAUCAUACCAACUCAUCUAUCAUGGAAUCAAAAUCAACUGAAAAAAAAAAGUUAUCAGAGAAUCGUUAGUUUUUAGUAUGUUAAUGAUUAAAAUAUUAAUUUUUACAUACUAUUAAUGAUUAAAACGUGAGUUUUCAAACUUUAAUGAUCAAAACAUGAAUAAUUUAAUCAUUUUCUUAUAAUCUCUCAUAAUUUUUAUUUGUUAAUUUGUAUUUUGUAAUUUCUCAAUACAUUGUUAAUUUAAGUUAAUUUUAAGUUAAAAGCCAAUCAUUUUAUAUGUGACAAUUUUAAGUUUAUUUGUUUUUUGUGACGGGCAAUCCUGUUUUACCAAUAAAUUGUGGAAAAAUGAUAUGAGUUCUUGCCUUUUUAGAGGGAUGAUUGAGUAUUGAGAGAGAAAAAAAGCAACACCGUUCUUUUUCAGUGCUGAAAAAAGGGCAGCUGACUCACAGACUGUCAAAGUUAAAGCUGCCAUGACAUGACAGGAAAAAAGUAAAAAAAUAAGUAAAAUAGUGAGUUUGAUCCUUUUCCUUAGGUGUAAUUUGAUUAUAAAUUAUGGACCGAUCACAUUCAAAUACGUUUAUGAUUGGAAUUUUGAAUUUAACUAAAAUGAUUGGAGUCCGACUCAUUUUUGCACCACUAGGCAUAAUAAAAGAACAUGCAUGAUCAACGUGGGAGGAAAGUGUUUCCCCUUUUUCUCCUCCUUUGAUUACUUUGAUGAAUGUGAAAGGAACAUUUCAUUUGCUUUGAAUCGAGCUGUUCAGGACAAAACUUUUUCUGGACAGUAGCUGAUCAUUCAUGUUCUCUCUUCCAUUAUUUUCUUGUGAAUUAUUCAUGGAAAUUGAUUUUGAGAUCUGGUACUAUUGGUAAAUGGCAUUUACCUCUACAUUUCAAUCAAGCAAGUUUGGUUCUCAAAGAAAACAAUAAGGUAAUCUAGCUUUGGGUUGAGUUACAUUGAUUACAUUCAUCCCCACUGGAAACCUAGUUCUCUAUAUGGUGUGGACUAAUGAAGGGCCAGUGGGCAAAUCACUCUUCAUUGAUUGGCAUAAGACGCGGGGAACCAAAUCUGAGGGAGGAUUCAAAGUCUCUAAUAAUAGCAUGCAGAGGGUCCAGCUCUGAGUUGUCGUGUCGUUUUCUCCUUAUAAAUUCCUACCUAACUCGGUAGCAAAAAAAAUUUUAAUUAGCUACAUGUGCUUGUCUAGUAUAGUAGUAGAGGAAUCUAAUCCAUUUCGAUGUUGACAAAAAGACAAGCGAUUGCACAAAUUUUGUAUUGAUCUUCUCCAUCUGCAGCUCCAUCCAGAGAUCUGCCACACCCAUGCCGGAAGAGACAUUAAUGGCGAAGAAGAUAAAAUUAAUUAAGCAGAAGAUGCAGACAACCAGCCCACCCCAGUUGGAUUUAAAACAGGUAGUGGCAUUUUUAUUAUUAAUGUGACCUGUCCAACCACAUGGCAGACUUAUUAAAAUAUAAUAUUUUCGAUAUUAAAACUUAUUAAAAUAUAUGUUUUUUGGAGAAUCACAUGGUAGAUUUUAAAGUAAGAUAAUACUUCCAAUAGAGGAAUAUAUUUUAUGUAUAUCUAUAUCAAGAAAGCUUCACCAUAUCGAUUUUCUAAGGAUUUAAUCUUUGAAAAAUCUAUUAGCAUGAACCGACAGUGGUAUCAUAUUAUUUUGAAAAUCUGCACCCACACGUUUUUAUAUAUAUAGAAUAAAGGCACAUGGUUUGUUCCAGAAAUCAAUAAGAUCGAUCCGUUUGAAAUGUAGGAAAAAGUUUUCCCGAGAAAGUUUUUCAAUAUUUAUUCAUAUUUAAAAAGAAAAAAAAUGUAAAAAUGAAUAUAAAAAAAUUUUUGAGUUAGAAAAAUUGUCUUGCAUUUUUUUUAAAAAUAAGAUAAUUUCUCAAAAACAAAACCUUCACCUUUCCCUUCUGUUCUUCCUCAAUCUUCAAGUAAAAUAGUUUCCACAGAAAAUCUUUUUUUUUGGUAAGUUAAUUUCUGAGUUAGAAACGAAACCGAAGAAGAGAAACAACAUUGAAACUCUAGGAGUAUGCAUGUGAAAAAUUAGUUAGGCUUUAUUGUCAAAAUAGGCAGCCGAAAUUAGCACCAUUAUUUGUACUUUUAUACAUCCUAAAGCUUAUAGAUGAUCAUUAUGUAAAUACAUAAUGAAGUUAAUACGAGUGUACUUCGUAUCUAACUAAAUAAUUAAAUGCAGCAAAGUAAGGUAGUUAUAAAGUAAAUUCGACCGAAAAAAGAAGGACUAAAUAGUAAAUUUUUCAUUUAAAAAAUAAAUGGUACAUAUUUGGUUUGAGUCUCACCAUGGUCAUUAAUAUUUAACUAAAUAAUAAGUUUUUCAUUCUAAAUUUAAUAGAAAUGUAAUGCAACAACAAUUAAACGUAGCGAAUUAAGGUAUUUACACAGUAAAUUCGACCAAUAAAAAAUCAAAUAAAUAGUAAGUUUUACAUUUCAAAUCUUUACCAUGAUUUGUUUACGGUGACGUCCCCGCACCUGUGGGGUCGAAAUAUCAUGUUAUGACCAAAAUAACUGAGCUGGCAACUCACCUACCCCUCCCAUUUCGAGAAGGAAAUAAAUAAACAAAUAUAUAAAGUAACUAGUUUUGAACAUUUAAUAAAAGAUAAGGCAAGUCGUGGGCGAUCUCGGGUUUCCACACCCGCCCCAACGGGCGCUUUCGAUUAUCGGAUUAGCAGAACCCCAACUCCCACCAUUUAUUAGUAUUUUUUUGGAAAAAAGCACGUUUUCUGUUGGCUCAGUUUUGUUCAAGAAUAGACAACCUUGGAACAGGGUUUUGCCCAAAUCUGUAUCAAUUAUCAAAGACUUUUUUUU